UACGGAGUGUGCAAGCGUUACUCGGAAUCACUGGGCAUAAAGGGCGUGUAGGCGGGCUUUCAAGUCGGUUGUGAAAUCCCUCAGCUCAACUGAGGAACUGCAUCCGAUACUGUUUGUCUUGAGGACGAGAGGGGAGAGUGGAACUUCCGGUGGAGCGGUGAAAUGUGUUGAUAUCGGAAGGAACGCCGGUGGCGAAAGCGACACACUGGGUCUCAACUGACGCUGAGGCACGAAAGCCAGGGGAGCGAACGGG
rnacentral:rRNA from 1 species